GGUCCGGGAGGAGGCCUACCGCACGGUCGCCCCGCGGGAACCCGGCGGCGGCCCCGCCUGCGCGCUUUACCCGUCGCCCUCCCGGGCCCGUCGCGCGCGCGUCCCUUUCGCUUUUAGCCCCAGCUGCGCUGACUGCUAGCGAUUACUCAGAAUCGUCCCUCCGGUUGGCAGAGUGACAAAAAUCGGCAGUGGCUGUCCGAGGACACCUGUUUACAAACAGGACCCCCGCCCCCAGCCGAAAGCACCCCAGGCCGAGAGCCCGGAAAUCUCGGUUCUCCUCCCACUCGGCCUCUCGCUCUCAGUGGGACUGGUUUCGGGCCUCAGUUUGCCUGUUUAUGUACUUGAUGUCAAGAAUGUGUGUGCAAUCGAACGAAAGACCUUUACAGUCUCACUGGUGACCGGCGGGAUGGGAGAAGACUGGAUUUUGCAGCCAGAUAUAUUCGGUUAGAAGUUCUUGGUUUGCCACUUUUUUCGCCUAUGGGACCUCGGUCAAGCCCCUUACACUUGGAUGUCCAAAGCCUCUUGUAGUUCUACCUAUCAGCUGAUCGCUGCUGCCGCGCCCGCUCGCCUAAUUUAGCAGCCGGAAGUCGCAAGUCCGGCGACAGCUGACCUAGAGCCCUUAGUCUUAUCAUUGUCAAAGCCAGUGUUGGCCCAGAGGACACACAGGUGCGCCCAGGGCACGUAUUUCUCCAGCCUCCGCCCUAGUCACGGGGCUGCAUCCGGUCCAGGAGCCAAGGAAACUGGUCCAGCUGCUCCUUUCCCGGCAGGGCCCCGCCCACGCCCACCCCAGCGGAGGCCCAGAACAGGUUUCUUCACUUUCCCUGGCCCAGCUCCCGCCUCGGGCGACAAAGGGAAGCCGGUUGCUCAAUGUGCCUGAGGAUCGUUCUGGUUCGCAGGCAACUCGUGGACGAGCCAUCAGUCGGGUGGCCCCAACUCAAGCCACCAGGCACUGUACACCAGCUUGUGCACCGAGGUCUACCCAGCAAACCCUUAGGGUUCCUCAGGUGACACCUGGGCCCCUUGCUCUGUGCAGGGCCAGCCAGCAUCAGGUCCCAAGGGGAAGAUGAGGAAGCUGACUUGGACAAAUUAACAGGAUGGCUCAUGUCUGAAACGGAGACCCAGAAAAAGGAGAUACAAAGUCUAGGGAAGAUCUACAGGAUAGCUCAGGCCUCCUGACUUUUGUCUCAGCGCCCUCUCCAUAUU
ensembl:lncRNA